rnacentral:rRNA from 1 species
GAUGAACGCUGGCGGCGUGCCUAAUACAUGCAAGUCGAGCGAACGGACGAGAAGCUUGCUUCUCUGAUGUUAGCGGCGGACGGGUGAGUAACACGUGGAUAACCUACAUAUAAGACUGGGAUAACUUCGGGAAACCGUAGCUAAUACCGGAAAAUAUUUUGAACCGAAUGGUUCAAAAGUGAAAGACGGUCUUGCUGUCACUUAUAGAUGGAACCGCGCUGCAUUAGCUAGUUGGUAAGGUAACGGCUUACCAAGGCAACGAUGCAUAGCCGACCUGAGAGGUGGAUCGGCCACACUGGAACUGAGACACGGGCCAGACUCCGACGGGAGGCAGCAGUAGGGAAUCUUCCGCAAUGGGCGAAAGCCUGACGGAGCAACGCCGCGUGGGUGAUGAAGGUCUUCGGAUCUUAAAACUCUGUUAUUAGGGAAGAACAUAUGUGUAAGUAACUGUGCACAUCUUGACGGUACCUAAUCAGAAAGCCACGGCUAACUACGUG